CAUGCAGUCGUAACAAGCGUAANNNCGAAGCUUGGUUUUUAUGUUAGCGGCGGACGGGUGAGUACACGUGGGUAACCUGCCUGUAAGACUGGGAUAACUCCUGGAAACCGGGGCUAAUACCGGAUGUUUGUUUGAACCGCAUGUUAAAGCAUAAAAGGUGGCUUUGGCUACCACUUACAGAUGGACCCGCGGCGCUUUAGCCAGUUGGUGAGGUAACGGCUCACCAAGGCAACGAUGCGUAGUCAACUGAGACGGGCAUCGCCCAUACUGAGACUGAGACACGAUCUAGAUCUAUACGGGAGGCGGCGGUAGGUAAUCUUCCGCAAUGGACGAAAGUCUGACGUAGCAACGCCGCGUGAGUGAUGAAGGUUUUCGGAUCGUAAAGCUCUGUUGUUAGGGGAGGACAAGUACCGUUCGAAUAUGGCGGUACCUUGACGGUACCUAACCAGAAGCCACGGCUAACUACGUGCCACGGCCGCGGUAGUACGUAGGUGGCAAGCGUAAUCCGGAAUUAUUGGGCGUAAAGGGCUCGCAGCCGGUUUCUUAAGUCUAAUGUGAAAGCUCCCGGCUCAACCGGGGAGGGUCAUUGGAAACUGGGGAACUUGAGUACAGGAGGGGGAGAGUGGAUUCCACGUGUAGCUGUAAAUGCUUAGAGGUGUGAGGAACACCAGUGGCGAGGCGCUCCUCUGGUCUGUACUCACGCUGAGAGCGAAGCCUGGGGAGCNAACAGGAUCAGAUACCCUGGUAGUCCACGCCGUAACUAUGAGGGCUAGGUGUAGGGGCUCCGGCNCNNNUGCUGCGGCUAACGGGAUUAGCAGUCCGCCUCGGGGGUAGGUCGGAAGACUGANNUCAAGGAGUGACGGCGGCCCGCCCAUCGUCGAGUAUGUCGUUAAAUCGGAGCACCCGAAGAACNNACCAGGUCUGGNNUCAUNNNACAAUUCUUGAUAUAGUA
rnacentral:rRNA from 1 species